rnacentral:tRNA from 1 species
CCAGCUGUGCGAGCCGGUCGGAUCAUCGGGUUGGGCUGUGUUGCGCUGACCGACCCCGAGGUUCAAAUCCUCGCGGCUGAUCCA